rnacentral:rRNA from 1 species
UACAGAGGGGGCCAGCGUUAUUCGGAAUUAUUGGGCGUAAAGGGCGCGUAGGCGGCUUUGCGUGUCUUUCGUGAAAUCCCUCGGCUCAACUGAGGACGUGCGGAAGAAACUGCAGGGCUGGAGUCCGGGAGAGGAGGGUGGAAUUCCCAGUGUAGCGGUGAAAUGCGUAGAUAUUGGGAGGAACACCGGUGGUGUAGACGGCUUUCUGGACCGUAACUGACGCUGAGACACGAAAGCGUGGGUAGCAAACAGG